rnacentral:rRNA from 1 species
AUUGAACGCUGGCGGCAGGCUUAACACAUGCAAGUCGAGCGGGGAAGGGUAGCUUGCUACCUGACCUAGCGGCGGACGGGUGAGUAAUGCUUAGGAAUCUGCCUAUUAGUGGGGGACAACAUUCCGAAAGGAAUGCUAAUACCGCAUACGCCCUACGGGGGAAAGCAGGGGAUCUUGGGACCUUGCGCUAAUAGAUGAGCCUAAGUCAGAUUAGCUAGUUGGUGGGGUAAAGGCCUCCCAAGGCGACGAUCUGUAGCGGGUCUGAGAGGAUGAUCCGCCACACUGGGACUGAGACACGGCCCAGACUCCUACGGGAGGCAGCAGUGGGGAAUAUUGGACAAUGGGCGGAAGCCUGAUCCAGCCAUGCCGCGUGUGUGAAGAAGGCCUUUUGGUUGUAAAGCACUUUAAGCGAGGAGGAGGCUACCGAGAUUAAUACUCUUGGAUAGUGGACGUUACUCGCAGAAUAAGCACCGGCUAACUCUGUGCCAGCCGCCGCUGUAAGAC